UAAAACGUAGGUCACAAGCGUUGUCCGGAAUUACUGGGUGUAAAGGGAGCGCAGGCGGGAAGACAAGUUGGAAGUGAAAUCUAUGGGCUCAACCCAUAAACUGCUUUCAAAACUGUUUUUCUUGAGUAGUGCAGAGGUAGGCGGAAUUCCCGGUGUAGCGGUGGAAUGCGUAGAUAUCGGGAGGAACACCAGUGGCGAAGGCGGCCUACUGGGCACCAACUGACGCUGAGGCUCGAAAGUGUGGGUAGCAAACAGGAUUAGAUACCCUGGUAGUCCACACCGUAAACGAUGAUUACUAGGUGUUGGAGGAUUGACCCCUUCAGUGCCGCAGUUAACACAAUAAGUAAUCCACCUGGGGAGUACGACCGCAAGGUUG
rnacentral:rRNA from 1 species